ACAACAGUCUAUAAUCCAGACCUCAUAGCUAAAGCCCCAAAUAGCUAAAUCCACAGGAUACAGAUUUUUUUUUUGUCUUCUAGUGUGUAGUGUUUUUAGGUCUGAACUCUUAAUGAGGCUAGUAGUCUAGAGGCCACUUUAAAUUUUUCACCACAGGUAAUUUACCCAUUUCUUUCUCCUCCUUCCUAGUUUACCCUGCCGGCUUGAAAUUCCUCUUGAGACAGGAUUUGUCUAGAACCUACUGUCCUGAAUUCAAAUCAUUUGUUUAACUUACAGAAGCAUGUAACCAAAAUGGAAAUCAAGUACCAUGGACCUGGACGGUGGGGGCCUGAAUUAAAAUCACUCAAGACAGGAAGAAUUUGACAUGGUCAAUCAGACUUCAGAGCCAAGGCAGGAGGAGAAGAAUUUCUCCAUGUCCAGCAACAUUCCAGCCAGUGAGAAACUGCUUCACUCAGCUAGAGUAAAGCUGUGACCUGAACUCUUGGAAGCAGUCACUCCUGACUUCCUUCUUUCCUCCAUAAAAGCAAGUUAGUCUCCCCGGUUAUCUGGUCUUACCUGUGGUUUGCCAUAGUUUGCUUGUCCCAAAUUGCAGUUCUCUGGUAUUCCCAAAUAAACUUAUUUUGCUGCUAAAA